UCGAAGGUCGAGCUCGCUCGCAGAUCCUGGUAAUAAUAUAGAUUUUAAUUGAUCUUAUUCUACUUUCGACCGAUUUAUGCAAAUUGCCAGUGGUAUCGAUUUACAGUAUGUAUUAUUCAUUGCGCUAAUUCGUUGCUCGUUCCUCGAAGAAAAGAUUUUAACCUCUCGCUGCACCAAAGAUCAUCGAAGAAACGCCCAGGAAAUCAACGUCGACGACGCAACGCGAUCUCGAGAGAGAGAAAGAGAGAGAGAGAGAGAAAUGUUACUCGAAAUAUGUUCAAGUGCAUGGUCUGGUCGAACUACACCUGCAACAUUACACGACACGUAGUGGUGAGCUGGAACGCACGCGGGGAGCACAAGGACACGACGAAAAGUUUCGUGAAAGCGUUUCAAUACGUUCUGGAAAAAACGAGAAUGGAUAUCGACCGGAAGAUGAAAGAGCUGGAGCAACUGUUUACGAAAACUGGGAAAGAACUGGGCGAUAUAGUGAAGAAGAACGAGGAGUUUGUCGCGGGGGAGCUGAAGAAAGCUCA